GCUGCAGUUGAAGGGGGGGCAAUAAGACUGAAAACUGCAGCACCGCGAGGGCGAGGCCACCCAAGACCCAUGCACACUGACACGAGCGCGUGCGCAGACUUGGAGCACCAACCCUCCCUUCAAAUCCGCAGUCUCUAGCUUCUGUUUCAGAGCCAAAUCUCCAUUGAGUACCCGGGUGAAAACGCGUGUUCAAGAGCAUACAGAUGAAAGGACUCUUUCCUCUCAGGUUUCUUUUAAACGAUGAGGUUUGGAAUAGGGUGAGACUGAAAAUCAUACCUCUGAAAGCCCAGAGUGCCCUUGGGGACGUUUCUGGCCCAAGAUCUGCUUUCCUUUCAUGCGUUUUGCUUGAAUUGUCCCCAUACCCCUGCCCCUUCCGGGCAGCCAUUCUUGUUAACCGUCUACACCCACCCCCACUCCCACUGGAAUUGUGAUGCUGCACAUUUUAAUUUUCACAAGCAGCUGAUUUUGUGUUGAAACGUUGACAACAGCCACUCCUUUCUCUAAAGUCUUUCGGUUUAUCUGAUAACCCUUAAAAAAGAUAAUUAUUAAUCCAUGUAGCUCACUUGAAGAGACUUUCACCACCCGACUUUCAAAGUAAAAAAAAGUCGUUGGCAGUUCUGUCCCCAGCAUUUCUGUCUAUUCAUUAUAUGCAAUGCUUUUCAAUCUAGGUCAUCGUAUAUCAGGCACGAAGAUUUAGGGGCAACAUAAUUCAUGAUCUCUUAAUGUUAGUCUUAAUGAUGUACUAACAUUUAAAGAUUUUCCCUUCCAGAGACAAUUGUUAAAAUAUCCCUGCAUAAAAUACAAUUCAACAUUAGUUUUAUACAUAACCUAUUAAGCGACUGAAGUGAGCAAGAUAUCCCCUAAACUAUUAAAAUUAUAUUUGCUUUCACAAUUUUCAGAUUACUUUCAGGGCACGUCCUCAAGUGAAUUUGCAUUUAUCUAUUAUACACAUAGUCAUUGUCUUUAGUUGAGGAAGUCUGAUAGAAAGGAGGUUUUACAUAGUAGUAAAUUUUUAAAGCAUUGUUUUCGUAAUGCAACAUAUAUUUUUGACACAUGUAUUGAAAUUACUAGACAUUUGGCAUUAGGGUUAUUUACUGCUUGCCGGCAUUCACCGCCUAAAACCCAGCCCGCAGCCCCCAAGGCUGGCUCUACGGCCGAGAUGCACGCGGUUUCCUAGGCAACCAACAUUUAGCCAUUGAAUGAAGAGGAGUUGAAAGAAAAAGACUGCAAAUCCAUCAUUAUUUCCACCCACACACACACUCACCACCUCUUCUCAUAGCUCUCCAUUUAAAAAUAUUGGAAAGCUACCAAGCCUAACAUUUAUGUAAAAGAGCCAAAUGCCCGGGGCACGGGGGCUAGGAAAGGGUGGCAGCACCAUACUGACUUCAGAAAGGAGCCAGUGGAGGAGGCACCCGGGAUCUGCCAAGAUCUGCGCCUUCUCAGCUUUGUCGCUCCCCAGCUUCUAUUCCACUGCCCUCCCCCUUCCACCCAGGCCUUCCCUCCUCCGCCUGGGAAGCGCCGCCCGGGCGGAGCUGCCCGGCGCUCUUUAAUCAUAGGGGCUGCAGGGUGGCAGCCUCAGAGCUCUGUCCUUUCGCAGCCGUGGGCCCCGCAGGGACCAGCCCAGCAAGGUAACAAAAGGCUGGAACCAGCAGCGAACACCCCGAGCCCACGAACGCGGCGCAGUGCCGGAACAUUUGCUCUUUGUUCCUCAGUAAGGCCGGGUGUUUUCCCAUCUCUGGAGGUCGCGAAUUCGGGUUAGAACGGCCGAGAGUGCCGAGCUUCCAUGAAAGAGCUUUGCCUUCUUUGUCCUACAAAUGGGCGGAGAGCGUAGAACCCUGGCUUUUCGUGGCACCAUUUCCCGGCUACAGGCAGUCUCCCCUCCCCCACGCCGUCAAUGAUUUGUGAGAGUCUUAGGCAGGCGGGGGAGGUCGAGCCCGGGGAACGCACGCUGAGUCCUAGACACAGAGCUAGGCCUGGUAGAAAACAAAAAGAGAAGAAAUGAUAUGAAAUACUAAAACGGACAGUGUGCAGGGUGCGGUCUGUGAAAUCAACAGACUUACGAAUAAGUCCUGGAGGAAGCGCGUGAACGCAAGCAGGAGACUAUGGCGGGGGAGCCACUGAGAGUUCCACGGCAGAGGCUAGAUCAUCGCUGUAGCUGCGGGGCUCUCACCCGGCCGGGGAAACCCUCCGUAUCAGCUCCUGCUCGGAAAUGUCUCCGCAGCUCACUCCUUCUCUUCGACAUCUGCCCAAGACCUUUGUUUGCCAUUUAAAUGAAAUGUAAUGAAAACGUGUGUAUCCAGGAGGUCACAUCCAUGCAGCAACACCCCUGCCUCUAGGCUCUAGCUGCCUGGUGGGCAAUCACUGGCCACGUCGCAAAAACAGCAGGGCAGCUUCCAAACGGAGCUCUUGGGGCUUCACAUGCCCAGUCUUCUUCUUUUUUUAAAUUUCCAUUUUAAUUUUAGAUUCAGGGAGUCCAUAUGCAGGUUUGUUAAAAGGUUCUAUUGCGUGAUGCUGAGACUUGGGGCUUCUAUUGACCGGAUUAUCCACAUAGUGAACAUAGUACCCAUCAGGGAGUUUUUCAGCCCUUGCUCUACUCCUUCCUUCUCUCCUUUUGGAGUCCUCAGUAUCUAUUGUUUCCAUUUUUUGUCUGUGUCCACCCAAUAUUUAGCUCCCACUUAUAAGUGAGAACAUGCGGCAUUUAAUUCUCUGUUUCUAUAUUAAUUCUCUUAGGAUAAUGGCCUUCAGCUGCAACCAUGUCGUUGCAACCGACAUGAUUUUGUUCUUUUUUAUGGCUGUGUAGUAUUUCGUGUUGUAUAUGUACCACAUUUUCUUUCUCUGUUCCACCACUGAUGGACACCUAGGUUGAUUCCACGUCUUUGCUAUUGUGAAUAGUGCUAUGAUGAACAUUAGAGCUAAUGUGUCUUUUUGGUAGAAUGAUUUAUUUUUUGAGGGGUAUAUACCCAGUAAUGAGAUUGCUGGGUUGAAUGUAGGUCUAUUUUUAGUUCUUUGAGAAAUCUCCAAACUGCUUUCCACAGUGGCUGAACUAAUUUACAUUCACACCAACAGCAAAUAAGCAUUCCUUGCUAAUAAUCUGUUUUUUUUUACUUAUUAAUAAUAAAGACUGCUGUGAAGUGGUA